UACGUAGGGGGCAAGCGUUAUCCGGAAUCACUGGGCGUAAAGCGUCUGUAGGUGGUUUAAUAAGUCAACUGUUAAAUCUUGAGGCUCAACCUCAAAAUCGCAGUCGAAACUAUUAGGCUAGAGUAUAGUAGGGGUAAAGGGAAUUUCCAGUGGAGCGGUGAAAUGCGUAGAGAUUGGAAAGAACACCGAUGGCGAAGGCACUUUACUGGGCUAUUACUAACACUCAGAGACGAAAGCUAGGGUAGCAAAUGGG
rnacentral:rRNA from 1 species